CUGCUGCAUUGCCAUUCAUUUGCCAAAUAUGAAUCAAAUGACUUUGUUAGGCACUUCAAGAUAUUUGGAUACUCCAUUGAAAACAAACGAACAAAACAAAACUUCCAGUACUCAAAGAAUGUAUAUUCUAAUUGGAGACAGACAGUAAACAGUAAUCAUAAUUAACAGGAGACUACAGGGGGAGCUCAUCUUACUCAUCAUCUGUGGCUUGUCUCAUGCAGAACCUGCAAAAGAUCUUCUUCUAAGGGUCUGCAUCCCUAUGGAACAGAUGUUUCCUCAAGAACACUCACCCCCAGGUGCCUGAGCUGAGAGGUUGCAGCCCAUCCCAUCAUUUAUGAAAGAGCUCUCAGAAGUAUACAGGCCUUCGUUCCCAGAAAACCUCAGGAGUCAGAAUCCCAGAAAGCUGGUCAUCUGGGAGGCUGAGGCGGGUGGAUCACCAGGUCAAGAAAUUGAGACCAUCCUGGCCAACAUGGAACCUCAUCUCUAGAUGAACAUAAAAACAUAAUUAGCUGGGUAUGGUGGUGGGUGCCUGUAAUUCCAGCUACUCAGGAAGCUGAGGUAAGAGAAACACUUGAACUCAGGAGGUGGAG
rnacentral:lncRNA from 13 species